UUUAGAGUUUUGAUCAUGGCUCAGAUGAACGCUGGCGCCAGGCCUUAACACAUGCAAGUCGAGCGGAUGAGAGGAGCUUGCUCCUGGAUUCAGCGGCGGACGGGGUGAGUAAUGCCUAGGAAUCUGCCUGGUAGUGGGGGACAACGUUUCGAAAGGAACGCUAAUACCGCAUACGUCUACGGGAGAAAGCAGGGGACCUUCGGGCCUGCGCUAUCAGAUGAGCCUAGGUCGGAUUAGCUAGUUGGUGAGGUAAUGGCUCACCAAGGCGACGAUCCGUAACUGGUCUGAGAGGAUGAUCAGUCACACUGGAACUGAGACACGGUCCAGACUCCUACGGGAGGCAGCAGUGGGGAAUAUUGGACAAUGGGCGAAAGCCUGAUCCAGCCAUGCCGCGUGUGUGAAGAAGGUCUUCGGAUUGUAAAGCACUUUAAGUUGGGAGGAAGGGUUGUAGAUUAAUACUCUGCAAUUUUGACGUUACCGACAGAAUAAGCACCGGCUAACUCUGUGCCAGCAGCCGCGGUAAUACAGAGGGUGCAAGCGUUAAUCGGAAUUACUGGGCGUAAAGCGCGCGUAGGUGGUUUGUUAAGUUGGAUGUGAAAUCCCCGGGCUCAACCUGGGAACUGCAUCCAAAACUGGCAAGCUAGAGUAUGGUAGAGGGUGGUGGAAUUUCCUGUGUAGCGGUGAAAUGCGUAGAUAUAGGAAGGAACACCAGUGGCGAAGGCGACCACCUGGACUGAUACUGACACUGAGGUGCGAAAGCGUGGGGAGCAAACAGGAUUAGAUACCCUGGUAGUCCACGCCGUAAACGAUGUCAACUAGCCGUUGGGAGCCUUGAGCUCUUAGUGGCGCAGCUAACGCAUUAAGUG
rnacentral:rRNA from 1 species